rnacentral:rRNA from 1 species
AACCUGGGAACUGCAUUCGAAACUGGCAGGCUAGAGUCUUGUAGAGGGGGGUAGAAUUCCAGGUGUAGCGGUGAAAUGCGUAGAGAUCUGGAGGAAUACCGGUGGCGAAGGCGGCCCCCUGGACAAAGACUGACGCUCAGGUGCGAAAGCGUGGGGAGCAAACAGGAUUAGAUACCCUGGUAGUCCACGCCGUAAACGAUGUCGAUUUGGAGGUUGUGCCCUUGAGGCGUGGCUUCCGGAGCUAACGCGUUAAAUCGACCGCCUGGGGAGUACGGCCGCAAGGUUAAAACUCAAAUGAAUUGACGGGGGCCCGCACAAGCGGUGGAGCAUGUGGUUUAAUUCGAUGCAACGCGAAGAACCUUACCUGGUCUUGACAUCCACAGAACUUUCCAGAGAUGCUUUGGUGCCUUCGGGAACUGUGAGACAGGUGCUGCAUGGCUGUCGUCAGCUCGUGUUGUGAAAUGUUGGGUUAAGUCCCGCAACGAGCGCAACCCUUAUCCUUUGUUGCCAGCGGUCCGGCCGGGAACUCAAAGGAGACUGCCAGUGAUAAACUGGAGGAAGGUGGGGAUGACGUCAAGUCAUCAUGGCCCUUACGACCAGGGCUACACACGUGCUACAAUGGCAUAUACAAAGAGAAGCGACCUCGCGAGAGCAAGCGGACCUCAUAAAGUAUGUCGUAGUCCGGAUUGGAGUCUGCAACUCGACUCCAUGAAGUCGGAAUCGCUAGUAAUCGUAGAUCAGAAUGCUACGGUGAAUACGUUCCCGGGCCUUGUACACACCGCCCGUCACACCAUGGGAGUGGGUUGCAAAAGAAGUAGGUAGCUUAACCUUCGGGAGGGCGCUUACCACUUUGUGAUUCAUGACUGGGGUGAAGUCGUAACAAGGUAACCGUAGGGGAACCUGCGGUUGGAUCACCUCCUUACCUUAAAGAA